CUAACACCUGUGCCCCAGGUGUCGGGUCUGCAAGAGCUAAUUAAGAUUGUGGCGUCAGGAGGUGGGCCCUGCGUGACCUCGCAUUUGCUCCAUUCCGGGCACCAGCGUGCAUAUGUGGCUUUUGGUUGAAGGGUCUUUUAAAAUAUAUCUGAAGUUUAUUUGCAGGAAAAGGAUCUGCAAGCACCAAGCCCCAGAAGAUCCCUCACCCCCACAAAGACUAGUUUUGAAUGUCAGAAGAUAUUUUCCUUCACAGAUAACAAAACCAUUGCCAUGUAUUUUCACUUUGCCUAAGUAACCUAAACACCCUCAACCCCAAUGCCAAGAAGGACACUUACCAGUCGCUGUUUCGAUAGAAGCGGAACAAGUAGGUAACUACAUAUAUGACGAGGACCUCGUGCUGCACUGCGCGACGAGAAUGCAGGUUCCGGCUCCUGUCACGGUCCGUGAUGACUCAGCUCUCUCCACAGUUCCAGUUAAUGACCAGCUAAUAAAAUGGCUGCAAUCUUGCCUGAGAAA